GCUGGGCGUGGUGGCGCGUGCCUGUAAUCCCAGCUACUCAGGAGACUGAGGCAGGAGACUCACUUGAGCCUGGGAGGCAGAGGUUGCAGUGAGCCAAGAUUGCGCCACUGCAUUCCAGCCUGGGCAACAGAGUGAGACCCUGUCUCAA
ensembl:misc_RNA Metazoa_SRP Metazoan signal recognition particle RNA